AUUGAACGCUGGCGGCAGGCCUAAUACAUGCAAGUAGGACGCAGUUGCGUACGGGUGAGUUACGCAUAGGUACAUAGCUGUUGGUGGGGGAUAACUAUUGGAAACGAUAGCUAAUACCGCAUCCUGGUAGAUGGACCUGCGUUGUAUUAGCUAGUAGGGAGGGUAAUGGCCUACCUAGGCAACGAUACAUAACCGACCUGGGAGGGUGAUCGGCCAAACUGGGACGUAGACAAGGCCCAGACCCCUACCGGAGGCAGCAGUAGGGAAACUUCGGAAAUGGGGGGAAACCUGGCCGAGCAACGCCGCGGGAGAGAAGGAGGGUUUCGGAUCGGAAAGCUCUGUUGUGAAGGAAGCGGUACUUAACCAGAAAGCGACGGCUAACUACGUGCCAGCAGCCGCGGUAAUAC
rnacentral:rRNA from 1 species